ensembl:lncRNA
GUGCUAGCCACAUAUCCAUCACCAUUAGAAAACAAACUCUCAGGCUAUAGAACAUGUAUAUGUGAAAAAUGCAAUCCCAGAACCCCAGGCCCUUGCUGAUCACAACUGGCAGAGACUGUGAUGACGUCCAGAAGGAUGGUAAUAAAAGUCACAGUUAUCCAGCAUCUACCAGGCACCCAUCAGCACCUAACCAGUUAGGAAUGUAUUCAGCCACACAUAACGGAACCUGACUUGGAGUGGAACAAACAGGCUUACAUCUCUCACCAAGAAUUCUGGAGGUAAUUAUUUUCACACGACCUAAAAUGGAAUAAGUUCCUGAAAGGCAGAGAGUAUAAAAUCUCCCUUCCACCUCGGCCACCAGCUCCUGAUCCCCCUGGAAGAAAAUCAAGGUUGCUAGUUUCUCAUGUAAUGUCACAGAGCUAUUCUGUAAA